UGGGGAAUAUUGCACAAUGGAGGGAACUCUGAUGCAGCGACGCCGCGUGAACGAAGAAGGCUUUCGAGUCGUAAAGUUUUUUUAUAUGGGAAGAUAAUGACGGUACCAUAAGAAAAAGCCCCGGCUAACUACGUGCCAGCAGCCGCGGUAAUACGUAGGGGGCUAGCGUUGUCCGGAAUCACUGGGCGUAAAGGGUUCGCAGGCGGAAAUGCAAGUCAGGUGUAAAAGGCAGUAGCUUAACUACUGUAAGCAUUUGAAACUGCAUAUCUUGAGAAGGGUAGAGGUAAGUGGAAUUUUUAGUGUAGCGGUGAAAUGCGUAGGUAUUAAAAAGAAUACCGGUGGCGAGGGCGACUUACUGGGCUCAUUCUGACGCUGAGGAACGAAAGCGUGGGUAGCAAACAGG
rnacentral:rRNA from 1 species